UACGGAGGGUGCAAGCGUUAAUCGGAAUUACUGGGCGUAAAGCGUGCGUAGGUGGUUUGUUAAGUCUGUUGUGAAAGCCCCGGGCUCAACCUGGGAAUGGCAAUGGAUACUGGCAGGCUAGAGUGCGGUAGAGGGUAGUGGAAUUCCCGGUGUAGCGGUGAAAUGCGUAGAGAUCGGGAGGAACACCAGUGGCGAAGGCGGCUACCUGGACCAGCACUGACACUGAGGCACGAAAGCGUGGGGAGCAAACAGG
rnacentral:rRNA from 1 species